AAAUUGAAGAGUUUGAUCAUGGCUCAGAUUGAACGCUGGCGGCAGGCCUAACACAUGCAAGUCGAGCGGAAACGAGUUAUCUGAACCUUCGGGGAACGAUAACGGCGUCGAGCGGCGGACGGGUGAGUAAUGCCUAGGAAAUUGCCCUGAUGUGGGGGAUAACCAUUGGAAACGAUGGCUAAUACCGCAUGAUGCCUACGGGCCAAAGAGGGGGACCUUCGGGCCUCUCGCGUCAGGAUAUGCCUAGGUGGGAUUAGCUAGUUGGUGAGGUAAGGGCUCACCAAGGCAACGAUCCCUAGCUGGUCUGAGAGGAUGAUCAGCCACACUGGAACUGAGACACGGUCCAGACUCCUACGGGAGGCAGCAGUGGGGAAUAUUGCACAAUGGGCGCAAGCCUGAUGCAGCCAUGCCGCGUGUGUGAAGAAGGCCUUCGGGUUGUAAAGCACUUUCAGUCGUGAGGAAGGUAGUGUAGUUAAUAGCUGCAUUAUUUGACGUUAGCGACAGAAGAAGCACCGGCUAACUCCGUGCCAGCAGCCGCGGUAAUACGGAGGGUGCGAGCGUUAAUCGGAAUUACUGGGCGUAAAGCGCAUGCAGGUGGUUUGUUAAGUCAGAUGUGAAAGCCCGGGGCUCAACCUCGGAAUAGCAUUUGAAACUGGCAGACUAGAGUACUGUAGAGGGGGGUAGAAUUUCAGGUGUAGCGGUGAAAUGCGUAGAGAUCUGAAGGAAUACCGGUGGCGAAGGCGGCCCCCUGGACAGAUACUGACACUCAGAUGCGAAAGCGUGGGGAGCAAACAGGAUUAGAUACCCUGGUAGUCCACGCCGUAAACGAUGUCUACUUGGAGGUUGUGGCCUUGAGCCGUGGCUUUCGGAGCUAACGCGUUAAGUAGACCGCCUGGGGAGUACGGUCGCAAGAUUAAAACUCAAAUGAAUUGACGGGGGCCCGCACAAGCGGUGGAGCAUGUGGUUUAAUUCGAUGCAACGCGAAGAACCUUACCUACUCUUGACAUCCAGAGAACUUUCCAGAGAUGGAUUGGUGCCUUCGGGAACUCUGAGACAGGUGCUGCAUGGCUGUCGUCAGCUCGUGUUGUGAAAUGUUGGGUUAAGUCCCGCAACGAGCGCAACCCUUAUCCUUGUUUGCCAGCGAGUAAUGUCGGGAACUCCAGGGAGACUGCCGGUGAUAAACCGGAGGAAGGUGGGGACGACGUCAAGUCAUCAUGGCCCUUACGAGUAGGGCUACACACGUGCUACAAUGGCGCAUACAGAGGGCGGCCAACUUGCGAAAGUGAGCGAAUCCCAAAAAGUGCGUCGUAGUCCGGAUUGGAGUCUGCAACUCGACUCCAUGAAGUCGGAAUCGCUAGUAAUCGUGGAUCAGAAUGCCACGGUGAAUACGUUCCCGGGCCUUGUACACACCGCCCGUCACACCAUGGGAGUGGGCUGCAAAAGAAGUAGGUAGUUUAACCUUCGGGGGGACGCUUACCACUUUGUGGUUCAUGACUGGGGUGAAGUCGUAACAAGGUAGCGCUAGGGGAACCUGGCGCUGGAUCACCUCCUUA
rnacentral:rRNA from 1 species